rnacentral:snRNA from 1 species
AGCUUUGCGCAGAGGCGAUAACGUGACCAAUGAGGCUCAGCCGAGGUGCGUUUAUUGCUGGUUGAAAACUUUCACCCAAUUGCCCGUCGUGGAAAACUUUCACCCAAAACUUUCGUCAAAAUCAAAUUCCAUCGAAUCUAUAAGUUUUAUAAAUGCUUACAAUGUAAGCA